rnacentral:rRNA from 1 species
GACGAACGCUGGCGGCGUGCUUAACACAUGCAAGUCGAACGGAAAGGCCCUGCUUUUGUGGGGUUCUCGAGUGGGGAACGGGUGAGUAACACGUGAGUAACCUGCCCUUGACUUUGGGAGAACAUCAGGAAACUGGGGCUCUUACCCGAUAGAAUCUUCUGCUGCGUGGUGGGGGUUGGAAAGUUUCGGCGGUUGUGGAUGGACUGGCGGCUUAUCAGCUUGUUUGUGGGGUAGUUGCUUACGAAGCCUUUGACGGAUAGGCGGCCUGAGAGGGUGACCGGCCACAUGGGGACUAAGAGAGGGACCAGAAGCCAACGUGAGGCAGUGGGGGGGAGUAUUGCGGAAUGGCGGGGCGCCUGUGACAGCAAUCCCCGGAGCGGGAUGACGGCCUUCUGGUUAUAAACCGCUUUCGCCGGUAACGAAGCGUGAGUGACGGUAAUGGGUAAAGAAGCACCGGCUAACUACGUG